rnacentral:tRNA from 1 species
CGGGGCGUAGCGCAGCUUGGUAGCGCACUUGCAUGGGGUGCAAGGGGUCGCGAGUUCGAAUCCCGCCGCCCCGACCA